rnacentral:rRNA from 1 species
UACGGGGGGAGCAAGCGUUGUUCGGAUUUACUGGGCGUAAAGGGCGCGUAGGCGGUGCGGUAAGUCACCUGUGAAAUCUCCUGGCUCAACUGGGAGCUUGCAGGCGAAACUGCCGUGCUGGAGUGUGGGAGAGGUGCGUGGAAUUCCCGGUGUAGCGGUGAAAUGUGUUGAUAUCGGAAGGAACACCGGUGGCGAAAGCGGCGUACUGGGGCUCAACUGACGCUGAGGCACGAAAGCCAGGGGAGCGAACGGG